rnacentral:sRNA from 1 species
AAGCGAGAGAACGUUGCGUCAGCAACGGCCCGCAGGGCGAGUCACGCAGUGGCGAGUCAUCCUCUAUCACCGACCA